rnacentral:rRNA from 1 species
UGGGCGUAAAGGGCUCGCAGGCGGUUUCUUAAGUCUGAUGUGAAAGCCCCCGGCUCAACCGGGGAGGGUCAUUGGAAACUGGGAAACUUGAGUGCAGAAGAGGAGAGUGGAAUUCCACGUGUAGCGGUGAAAUGCGUAGAGAUGUGGAGGAACACCAGUGGCGAAGGCGACUCUCUGGUCUGUAACUGACGCUGAGGAGCGAAAGCGUGGGGAGCGAACAGGAUUAGAUACCCUGGUAGUCCACGCCGUAAACGAUGAGUGCUAAGUGUUAGGGGGUUUCCGCCCCUUAGUGCUGCAGCUAACGCAUUAAGCACUCCGCCUGGGGAGUACGGUCGCAAGACUGAAACUCAAAGGAAUUGACGGGGGCCCGCACAAGCGGUGGAGCAUGUGGUUUAAUUCGAAGCAACGCGAAGAACCUUACCAGGUCUUGACAUCCUCUGACAACCCUAGAGAUAGGGCUUUCCCUUCGGGGACAGAGUGACAGGUGGUGCAUGGUUGUCGUCAGCUCGUGUCGUGAGAUGUUGGGUUAAGUCCCGCAACGAGCGCAACCCUUGAUCUUAGUUGCCAGCAUUCAGUUGGGCACUCUAAGGUGACUGCCGGUGACAAACCGGAGGAAGGUGGGGAUGACGUCAAAUCAUCAUGCCCCUUAUGACCUGGGCUACACACGUGCUACAAUGGACAG